AGGGUUCGAUUCUGGCUCAGGGCGAACGCUGGCGGCGCGCCUAACACAUGCAAGUCGAACGGAGUUAAGAGGAGCUUGCUUUUCUUAACUUAGUGGCGAACGGGUGAGUAACGCGUGAGUAACCUGCCCUGGAGUGGGGGACAACAGUUGGAAACAGAUGCUAAUACCGCAUAACAGCGUUGUUCGCAUGAACAACGCUUAAAAGAUGGCUUCUCGCUAUCACUUCUGGAUGGACCUGCGGUGCAUUAGCUUGUUGGUGGGGUAACGGCCUACCAAGGCGAUGAUGCAUAGCCGAGUUGAGAGACUGAUCGGCCACAAUGGGACUGAGACACGGCCCAU
rnacentral:rRNA from 1 species